GCGACUGAGCUAACAUUUGGAAAUUGGUUAACAGAGGCUGUGUUCAUAUUGCUACCCGAUGGAGUUUCCCUUCCAGAAUUGAGAUGCAAAUGCUUGACGCUGGAGUUGCAUCCAAUGUAUCAUACCUUUUAUGGAAUAGCUAGCCUUUUGCAAGCCUCACCACUUUUGGAGACCGUCAACAUACACUUGGUUGAGGAUGCGCAUUUUCUCUUUGAGAUCUAUUUGGUCAAAAUAAAAAAUAGCAAUUUGCAGAGUUGGAUUUCUAACAUUGUGUUUCCCAAUAUCAAAAGUGUUAAGAUUGUCGAUGGUACAUGGGGAUGUUCGAAGUUUUGGUCCAAAUACA